AGGACGAACGCUGGCGGCGUGCCUAACACAUGCAAGUCGAGCGGGGACAUUGCGACGGAGGCGAAGUACUCGUACGGAGUCAAAGAUGUAAUGUUCUAGCGGCGGACGGGUGAGUAACGCGUGAGCAACCUGUCCCUUACAGGGGGAUAACACAGCGAAAGUUGUACUAAUACCGCAUAAGACCACAGAGUGACAUCGCUCAGGGGUCAAAGGAGCAAUCCGGUAAGGGGUGGGCUCGCGUCCGAUUAGAUAGUUGGUGAGGUAACGGCCCACCAAGUCGACGAUCGGUAGCCGACCUGAGAGGGUGAUCGGCCACAUUGGGACUGAGACACGGCCCAAACUCCUACGGGAGGCAGCAGUGGGGAAUAUUGGGCAAUGGGGGGAAACCCUGACCCAGCAACGCCGCGUGAGGGAAGAAGGUUUUCGGAUCGUAAACCUCUGUCCCAGGUGAAGAGGAAGAGACGGUAGCCUGGGAGGAAGCCCCGGCUAACUACGUGCCAGCAGCCGC
rnacentral:rRNA from 1 species